rnacentral:rRNA from 1 species
GACGAACGCUGGCGGCGUGCUUAACACAUGCAAGUCGAGCGGUAAGGCCCUUUCGGGGGUACACGAGCGGCGAACGGGUGAGUAACACGUGGGUGACCUGCCCUCAGCUCUGGGAUAAGCCUGGGAAACUGGGUCUAAUACUGGAUAUGACUCCACGGUGCAUGUCGUGGGGUGGAAAGCCUUGUGCGGCUGAGGAUGGGCCCGCGGCCUAUCAGCUUGUUGGUGGGGUGAUGGCCUACCAAGGCGACGACGGGUAGCCGGCCUGAGAGGGCGACCGGCCACACUGGGACUGAGACACGGCCCAGACUCCUACGGGAGGCAGCAGUGGGGAAUCUUGCGCAAUGGGCGAAAGCCUGACGCAGCGACG